UAUAUACUUGUUCAUUUUUGCUUCCUGAGACUAUCUGUCUGACAACAGUGAAAUAUGAAAGGAGGGCAUGUUUCCUUCAGGAUUUCGCUAACGACUUUGUAUAUUCAACCCUUUAAGGUAUUUUUUUGCUACUUUCCUAAGCAGAAGAGACACCCUCCUGCCAGCACUAUGACUGUGUGACUGGUGGGAUGUCUUACUGGGUUCUGUUUACAUCAUUAUGUGCAACUUAACCAGCAUCAGAACAGCAGCUGAAGCAGAGCUGUGCCAUCACUCACACUACUCAGCUGUGUGCACUCUGGCAUGUUUAGCUCUGUACAAACAAGCACCAUUCCAGAAGGUGCCCAGAUCCCGCAUGUGUUCCCCUCCCUUCUCACAGUUUAUCUUCAGGACCAGAUGUUAUCUUCUCUAGUUUAGAGGUAACAACUAAAGCUUCCAAAGACAAGCCAUUUACCUAUGCACAGUUCUGCUUUCCAGCUGUAUGCCACCAAAGGCCUCUGCUCACAUCAACUAAAUGAAGCCUUGCCUGAUACUGUGAUCUGGAAAAUAUUUGUAGCCACUUUCCCACUGUUUAAUUUUUAACUGGAACUUUUCUUGAAGGAGGACUAAAUAAAAAUGAGUAAAGACUUUCACAGUCUGAAGUCUGAGCCAAUUUCCACAGGGUCCUUUAAGAGCUUUCCCAAUUAUUUUCCUUCAGCUGGGCUCCUGAGUUUAGCUAUUAAUCUUCCUUCAUAAGUAAAUCACUAUUGUGCACUAACCCUUUUAUGUUACUGUUCCUCUAACUUUUGUGUGCUUUCCUGGUAAAGAAUUUCAUGCAGUAUUCUUCAGGUGGGCUUACAAGCAGAAUGACCAGAUGGAAAUGCUAGGAUUACAACUAAAUACUGCUUAAAUGCAAGUGUUCAUCUCUUGUAGAAACAAAAUUAAUGAACACAAAGAUCAUCUUCUCACUAAUUUUCCUUCUUCUAAUUUCCUCCAACAGCCAUUUCCAAUAGGUAUUCCUAUUGGAAAAGCAUGGUUACCAAGGUGGAUUUGCAGAAAAGGAACGGGGCAGGAGCAGAGGAGAGACACUAAGAGUUCAGCAUUACAGGAAAGAAGUUCACGGUUUUCUCACUCAUCUUGCAACUGCUUUUAUUUUGGGGGCUGUUUCCCAAUUUUUGUUUGCUGUAGUUCUGCAAUGAAGUUUCUAUUUAUUUUGAAGCAUAAAAUGUAA
rnacentral:lncRNA from 1 species